CUGCUCUGUGGGUGGAAGGAAUUCAGGUCCUAUAAAAGAGCAUAGGUGCUAACCAUCGAGCCGUCUCUCCAGAUGAAAAAUAGAUUUAACCUAUGGAGAUUAAACGAAAACUGAUUUGCUAUAGGAAAUAGCAACGACCCCUCAUUGGCUUUGCUUUAGUUUCCCAGUAUCGGAGCCUGCUCCAUUCUAAUUAAGAAAGUUUCAGGGCAUCAGAUGCAUGCCUUUAAUCCCAGCACGGAGUUCAAGGCUAACCUGGUCUACAGAGCUUGAUCCAGGACAGUCAGGCUACACAGAGAAACUCUUCAACCCUCCCACCCCCCAUCCCAAAGUUAGUUGGUAAAAGGUUUCUUGAGCUUGGAGUUUGGACUGUAAGCUGUUGUGAGACUAUCAGUGGUUUUUAGUGUAGGCUAUUUGCAAAGUAGAAGCCAGUGUUACCAGCCCUUUCAAGAUUAUGUUUCUGCUUAAGGAGAGGUUUUUGCAGCGUCUGCUUGACAUGAAGGUGCUGAAAAUUGUCUGUUGUUUAGCCUAACGUUUAAGCAUCAAAGGACAAAAGAUGGAGGGUCCCACAGUUGACUCCAUUGGGAAAGCUUUUUUUUAUUAUUAUUAAAGAAGUGUGAGGCAUGAGAACGGUGGCUGUGAGGUGGCCUUGGUGGGCUGGGUGAUUGUUUUCUAUCCCCAGGCUGGAGUAGGCGAGCCAAGGCAGGUGUCAAGCUAUGUGUCUGGUUUCUGAGUUCAAAACCACAGGCAGGUUGUUAACUGCUGACCGUUUGCCAGACCAUGUUACUUUCUCUUCCUAACAUUUGAGGGCAGUGAGUUGAGAUGCGUCCUUGACAGGAUGGUCCUGGCUCCGCAAAGAUUUCCUCUCCUUUCCUUCAUCGGCCAGGCAGAACUCCACUUUCUAUCCUGAACCCCCUUCUUGUCUGUCUCUCCUUCCCAUUUGGCAAGAUCUUCUACAGUGGAGCCACUCCCAUCAAUGGUUUUUUGAGACAAGACCUUGUGUAGCCCGGGUUGGCUUCAAACUGUCUGUACAGCCCAGGCUGGCUGAGAAUUCCUCAUCCCGGUAUGACAGAUGUGAGCCACCACACCCAGCCUUCCCAGGAUUCGGAAUCCUCUUCCCCAAAGUGGAGAUCAGAGGCAAGGUCUGGGAGGCAAGACCGAAGUUUGAGGUAGACGAGCAGGCGAGCCGUUUGCCCGGGCGCAGAGCAUGAAGGCCGGGCGGGCGCGGGGAGCGGGCGCCCGCCGCCCGGCGCGGGGGUGAGCGAGAGAGAGAGCGGAGCGCGUGUGGCCG
rnacentral:lncRNA from 1 species